GACGAACGCUGGCGGCGUGCCUAAUACAUGCAAGUAGAACGCUGAAGAGAGGAGCUUGCUCUUCUUGGAUGAGUUGCGAACGGGUGAGUAACGCGUAGGUAACCUGCCUUGUAGCGGGGGAUAACUAUUGGAAACGAUAGCUAAUACCGCAUAACAAUGGAUGACACAUGUCAUUUAUUUGAAAGGGGCAAUUGCUCCACUACAAGAUGGACCUGCGUUGUAUUAGCUAGUAGGUGAGGUAAUGGCUCACCUAGGCGACGAUACAUAGCCGACCUGAGAGGGUGAUCGGCCACACUGGGACGGAGACACGGCCCAGACUCCUACGGGAGGCAGCAGUAGGGAAGCUUCGGCAAUGGGGGCAACCCUGACCGAGCAACGCCGCGUGAGUGAAGAAGGGUUUCGGAUCGGAAAGCUCGGUUGUAAGUCAAGAACGGGUGUGAGAGUGGAAAGUUCACACUGUGACGGUAGCUUACCAGAAAGGGACGGCUAACUACGUG
rnacentral:rRNA from 1 species